rfam:Flavobacterium sp. ABG contig03, whole genome shotgun sequence.
CCCUAGCCCUUAUGGGAGGGAAAAUCCUUUUGCUUUUUUCUUUAAAAAGCAAAAGAUUGGAAGGAACAGAAGGAUUAGCU